GUUUUGUCCUUGAACACCCUUGAGGCCCAUGAACCUAAUGUGGCUGGUUGUCACCUUCUUCCAAAUGGAUUAGGUAUUUAUUUGACUUCAUUGUGAAAGGAAUUGCCUCCAAGGAUGUCACAACUUUUGGCACUUGUUGAUGAAGAAAGAAGCAGACUGCCUCUUCAACUGUAAAAAUGAAAUCAAGGGAGCACACGUUUUGCCCCCCCGUGAUGCUGAUAUUUACAUAUGGCUCCCUCCUCCACAAGAUUGAGUCAAAGUUAAUAUGGGUGGAUGUGGCGGGGUUAUUAGAGAUUGUCAAAGAUCCUCGAUUGUGGGCUUCACGCAACUCCUUGGAAACUGUGAUGUCCUGGAAGCAGAGGAAUGGCGAUCUAUAAUGG